GACGAACGCUGGCGGCGUGCUUAACACAUGCAAGUCGAGCGGAAAGGCCCUUCGGGGUACUCGAGCGGCGAACGGGUGAGUAACACGUGAGUAACCUGCCCCAGACUUUGGGAUAACCCUCGGAAACGGGGGCUAAUACCGGAUACGACACAGCUUCGCAUGGGGUCUGUGUGGAAAGUUUUUCGGUUUGGGAUGGGCUCGCGGCCUAUCAGCUUGUUGGUGGGGUGAUGGCCUACCAAGGCGACGACGGGUAGCCGGCCUGAGAGGGCGACCGGCCACAAUGGGACUGAGACACGGCCCAGACUCCUACGGGAGGCAGCAGUGGGGAAUAUUGCACAAUGGGCGGAAGCCUGAUGCAGCGACGCCGCGUGAGGGAUGAAGGCCUUCGGGUUGUAAACCUCUUUCAGCAGGGACGAAGCGUAAGUGACGGUACCUGCAGAAGAAGCGCCGGCCAACUACGUG
rnacentral:rRNA from 1 species